CAGUAGCCGCGGUAAGACAAACCGUGCGAACGUUAUUCGGAAUCACUGGGCUUAAAGCGCGUGUAGGCGGAUGGGAGCGUCGGCCUCUGAAAUCCCCCAGCUCAACCGGGGAAGUGGAGCCGAAACGACCCGUCUGGAGGGACGUAGGGGGACCUGGAACUUCCGGUGGAGCGGUGAAAUGCGUUGAGAUCGGAAGGAACGCCCGUGGCGAAAGCGAGGUCCUGGACGUCUGCUGACGCUGAGACGCGAAAGCCAGGGGAGCGAACGGGAUUAGAUACCCCGGUAGUCCCUGUCUCUUAUA
rnacentral:rRNA from 1 species